AUUGUUAAUGGUACGGUUAUUGGCGUGGUCGGUGCACUUAGUGUAGCGUCAAUAAUUGUUCUGAUUUUGUUACUGAGGAGAAAUCUGAGGAAAAAUCCAAAAAUCGUUGAUUAUAACGUCAAAAAAGACUUUAAUGCGAAAACAACGUAUCAAAAUACAGAGUUGACAUCUUUCAGAACAAGGAACUUUUAAAGAAAUAUCCACUGAUGAUAAAUAGCAUUAUAUAAAUGAGAUAAUUAUAAACAAUAUGCUAGAAGUAAAACGUGUUUGUUAGUAAAUUAGUUUUAAAAUAAAUUGAUACAAAAUCUCAUAGACUUCUCUUAAAUAUAAAAGAUAAAACCAGCCUCACAGAUCAAAGUUGACUCAAUUACUCAGAUGCGAUGACUAAUUCCAUUUUGUUAUUGUUCUCUGUCGUCUUUCGUCGAUUCCAAAGCGCAAUUCAUUCACUCGGUAACUAGCAGUUUAACUUCAAGUACAUCCAUCGUGUGAAAGAACUUUGAAUAUACAUUUAUAAUCCAAAUAACAAACAGGCAAUACCAAUUACUCUGUAAUAAAUUUUUUUUUUAUAAAACAGUCCACCAACCGUCAAGUAGUAUAUAUACAUCAACUCUAACAAAAGAUUUUCCAGUUUCUGAUAAUCAUGUCUCCAGUCAUCGAAUUUCUUUUACAUUUAUCAGAAAAUGACUUAUAAAAACCACAUCUUUCAGAUAUAUAUUGGUGGUACUUAAUUGAAGUUCUUUAUUUGUUUCAAGAUUGCUAUAUAUUAAAAAGCUGACGUCAUUCUGAUAAUUUUAUGAUAAAUACAAAAUAAUUGAAGAAUUGUUAUGUAUUGUUAGGAAUACAAUAUCGUUAUCAUCGAUUUGUGUUUUUAUUUAUUGAAGGGAAGGAUUCUUUUUACAAAAAUAAGUUUUACUAUAGCAUGGAUUUUAAUUAUGUCGAUGAUAGUUGGAAAUUCACAAGUCAUAGGAUGGUCGGAGUUCUGUAUUUUUGUUAUUUUACUUUUUACCGUAUUAAUUUUCAAC